CGCUAUCACUCCUACGGGGAGGCAGCAGUAGGGAAUCUUCCACAAUGGGCGCAAGCCUGAUGGAGCAACACCGCGUGAGUGAAGAAGGGUUUCGGCUCGUAAAGCUCUGUUGUUAAAGAAGAACACGUAUGAGAGUAACUGUUCAUACGUUGACGGUAUUUAACCAGAAAGUCACGGCUAACUACGUGCCAGCAGCCGCGGUAAUACGUAGGUGGCAAGCGUUAUCCGGAUUUAUUGGGCGUAAGAGAGUGCAGGCGGUUUUCUAAGUCUGAUGUGAAAGCCUUCGGCUUAACCGGAGAAGUGCAUCGGAAACUGGAUAACUUGAGUGCAGAAGAGGGUAGUGGAACUCCAUGUGUAGCGGUGGAAUGCGUAGAUAUAUGGAAGAACACCAGUGGCGAAGGCGGCUACCUGGUCUGCAACUGACGCUGAGACUCGAAAGCAUGGGUAGCGAACAGGAUUAGAUACCCUGGUAG
rnacentral:rRNA from 1 species